UCCAACACGUCAGCCUCACCAAAAUACUCACCAUCGCCUAACAACGCUAUUCUCAGUUCUUCGCCAUGAGAGCCCUUGCUAAUCACCUCAGCUUGUCCGCUGGCAACAAUGAAGAAACGCUGUUUGUCUUUGCCCUCCUCUACAAAAAGUUUGUCGACAUCGACCUCCUUAGCCUCAAAAGAGUUGACCAGACGAUUGACUAUCUCAUCAUCAAAUUCAGAGAACAACGGAAUGGUUUUCAGUGCCUUAGCGGUGAAUGAGGGAACGCCAUUGACAUACUGAAUGGGCAGGCGGUCGUUCUUGCGGAGUUCCACCUUGGUGCGGUUCACACGGAAGGUGCCGCCACUAACUUGUACCCAGGGAAGCAACUUGAGAAGCAAUCUCGGAGUAAUACUGCCCAUCUGAGGGGCUGUCUUGGUAGUUGUUGCCAGUUUUCUGGCGGUAGCAGUUGU
rnacentral:antisense_RNA from 1 species